ACUGCAAACCCAACCCUCCCAUUGAUGGCCGGCUAAGCCUCUUCGCGGAUCAGUGGGAGGAAAUGACCACAGAUGCAUCGCUCCUAAAUGCUGUCCGACUAGGCUUUGCUCUCAACUUUCUUUCUAUACCCCUGAAGUUAUGGGGCACUGCACCCCCUCUCCCCAAAUGCCACAUUUUGGGCCUAGCAGGCCGCCCUGCAGCCUCUUGGAACCAAAAAUGGGAUGCGGGGAGGGGGCACUGCACCCCAUUCUCCCAGAGCUUCGUUUUGGGCCUAGCAGGCCUCCCUGCAGCCUCCCAGGAGCGGAAAGGGGCCGUGAGGGAGCAAUGCACCCCCAGAGCCCCGUUUUGGGCCUAGCAGGCCUCCCCGCAGCCUCCCGGGAGCGGAAAGGGGCUAUGAGGGAGCACUGCACCCCCAGAGCCCCCUUUUUGGGCCUGGCAGGCCUCCCCGCAGCCUCCCGGGAGCGGAAAGGGGCCGUGCGGGAGCACUGCACCCCCAGAGCCCCGUUUUGGGCCUGGCAGGCCUCCCCGCAGCCUCCCGGGAGCGGAAAGGGACCGUGAGGGAGCACUGCACCCCCAGAGCCCCGUUUUGGGCCUGGCAGGCCUCCCCGCAGCCUCCCGGGAGCGGAAAGGGGCCGUGCGGGAGCACUGCACCCCCAGAGCCCCGUUUUGGGCUUAGCAGGCCUCCCUGUUGCUACAUUGUUUUGUGAUGCAUUUCCUGAUUUAAUCUCUUAUUUACUCCUGUGAGGCUUGCACAGCAUUUUAACUGCAUUUGGAUUAAAACUACUUGGAACACCUGCAGCCUCCUAGGGCAAAGCCGCCACCCCCCUCCAGCUUACACGCGUGUCUCCCAUAUGCACCCUGCUCCCCCACAGCCCGAAAAUCAGCUGGCGAGGGGGGGGAGCCGCGCAUGUGCAUGCGCAGUAGAGCUGAGCUGGCCGAUGGCUCGCAUGCCUGCAGAAAGGGCUCUGCAUGCCAGCUGCGGCACGCGUGUUAUGGGUUCGCCAUCAUGGCUCUUAGUACGAUUUACAAUUAGUAUCGGUUGCCCGAAUACUGGACUUCCUACCGGCCGGGCUAGACAAUACGAUAGGCAGACAAGUGGGCGCCUUGUCGUCCGUGUUGUGGGGAACUGGAGUCCCGCGCACAGCACCCUAUUGUGCGCAGCUUCAUGAAAGGCGCGACUAACUUAAACCCUCCGGAAGCGCACCAGUAUCCCACCUGGGAACUACCUACCAGCAAAGUUUUUUUUUUCUCCCACAGUCUUUCAAGAUAGUUCCCAAUUCCUGACAAUUAUCAGGCUUGGAGAGUGGCCAGGCCGAUAUUUUCCAGACGCCGCAAUACUUGGCAGGAAUGCAGCAAUGAACUAAAUUGCCUCCUGCAAACUCCACUCCCCUUUCGCUCCUCUUUUAUUCCCUCUGGAAAGGGCCGUUCAUCUUCCACCUGUGGCCUUACUCCUGAGUCGACCCUUGUUCUUUAGCCGUUCCCUUCGUUUGGCAACUUUGCGCAUGCACGCGCACGCUGGGAACAGGCUCCGGCUGUUCGUCUGCCUCACUGAUGUCUGCCUCCUUCUGAUCACUGUCAGAAGGCCCUGGCCCCCUCUCUGCCUCCGAUGCAGAGCCUUCCCCAGACUCCAGGACUGGCCCAGGUUCCUCCCCAACCUCCUCACUGUCUGAAUCUGCUGCCAGAUCCGCUGGCGGGCCACAACACAGGCAUCGCCAUAUCAUACAAACUUUGUACUUUUCUGUUGCCUUGGCGAGUGACAGCCCCACCAGACGAGAAGCGUAGCCACGACAAUAGUGCGGGCCACAAAGGCCUCCAUCGAGGUGAUAUGCAGAGCUGGAUGCCUUCGGUUCCGCUGUAGCAGGUUUCGACAGACAAGGUUGGGGUUGGAUGUUUGCACCAUUCUCCGCUCAUCCGGGCCUCUGAAAGAGCAGUACGCAAAGGAAUUGACGACGGCGGAAUCCGAGUGCGGGUUAGACCAAGGCGUCCCCUACGACUGGGUGGUUACCAACGACGGAGACCAGCUGUCCUUGGAUGCCCAAUUGGAGAAGCUGCUCCAGUUUAUCCAGACCAAACUUUAGGAAGGGCUGGGUUUCCCCAUCUCUCUCCCCCCCCCCUCCAUAGCUGUUUUGGGGAGGGGGCUUAGGCUGGGGCUCUUGCUUGAAGGACCAAGGAGGGGUGGAGACGUAGGAGGAGGAGCUCCUUCCCAAACAAGGAGAUCCCAGACAAGAGGCCAUCACCUUAAACUCUGCUGUACAGCUUCCUUCCUAGAAUGGAGAGUCCCUUCCAGAAAGUGACAUAUUCCGCUGCCGGUUUUUCUUCCUCCUCUGUUUCUCCUCCUCCUUGCUUCGUUCCUUUGUUCCUCCUCAAAUCCCCCUUGUCCAAUUUCUCCUCUGGAAAUAUGCUCCUCUGCCAUUGGGGGGGAUUUCGUUCCAGAAAACGUGGAGGGAGACCCCCCCCCCCAAAUUGCAUUGGGAUGAGAAGCGCUUGAAAGAAGCUGUCAAAAAUGUGGCAUUUUGCAGCCCCUUCCGAGUUCAAUCCCCUCUUCAUUUUCCUCCGGUGCCGGGUUUUUCUCAACUGUGGGGCAGGAGCUCUGGGGCAUUAAAAAUAAGUUGGCCACUAAGCAGAUCGGCUCCCGGGAAGGUCGGAAAGUGGACAAACUGAAUUUGCAAAAGGGGAGCAGUUUUGCAAGGCUGCUGCAUUUGGGGGAAGGAGGGGGGACUUGGGGAGGGGGCUGUUUUUAGCCUGGACUCCCCUCCCCCCUUCUGAAUGGGAAAUAUCCUCCCAGCUUUUUGCAAGACCCUCCCCAAUUUCUUGCCUGUGUUGCUGUGAAUACCUGUAUCAAUUGUUAGCAUUAACAAGAAUGCCCGCCUUCUCUCUCUCUCUUGUCCUAUCGGAUAGAGAGGUGGUGGGGAAAUUUUCCAAUAAAGCCCAUUGAUUGGUUAAAGCC